rnacentral:rRNA from 1 species
AGUGAACGCUGGCGGCAGGCCUAACACAUGCAAGUCGAACGGAAGCACAGUAAGGGUUUGUUCUUACGGGUGGCGAGUGGCGGAGGGGUGAGGCAUAUAUUGGAAUCUACUUUUACGUGGGGGCUACCGUAGGGAAAGAUACGUUAAUACAGAAUAUGACUUAUGGGUGAAUGCAGGGGAUAUUCGGAGUUUGCGCGACUGAUAGAGCAGCAGUCGAAUUAGCUAGUUGGUGGGGUAAGGGCCCACCAAGGCGACGAUCCGUAGCUGGUCUGAGAGGAUGAUCGGCCACACUGGAACUGAAACACGGUCCAGACUCCUACGGGGGGCAGCAGUGGGGAAUAUUCGACAUUGGGCGCAAGCCGGAGCCAGCCAUACCGCGUGGGUAAAGAAGGCCUUCGGUUUGUAAACCCCUUUUGUUGGGAAAGAAAAUCUGCAUGUUAAUACCCCGAUGUUCUGACGGUACCCAAAUAGUAAGCACCGGCUAACUACGUG